rnacentral:rRNA from 1 species
AGUUCGAUUCUGGCUCAGAUUGAACGCUGGCGGGAUGCUUUACACAUGCAAGUCGAACGGCAGCACGGACUUCGGUCUGGUGGCGAGUGGCGAACGGGUGAGUAAUGGUAUCGGAACGUGCCUAGUAGCGGGGGAUAACUACGCGAAAAAGCGUAGCUAAUACCGCAUAGCCGCCCUUCGGGGGAAAGCGGGGGACCUUCGGGCCUCGCACUAUUAGAGCGCCGAUAUCGGAUUAGCUGGUUGGUGGGGUAACGCCUCACCAAGGCGACGAUCCGUAGCUGGUUUGGUGAGGACGUGACCAGCCACACUGGGACUGAGACACGGCCCAGAUCACGGAGGCGGCAGUGGGGAAUUUUGGACAAUGAGGGAAACCCUGAUCCAGCCAUCCCGCGUGUGCGAUGAAGGCUGGGUUGUAAAGCACUUUUGGCAGGAAGAAACGGCACGGGAUAAUACCCCGUGCAACUGACGGUACCUGCAGAAUAGCACCGGCUAACUACGUGCCAGCAGCCGGGCGGUAAUACGUAGGGUGCAAGCGUUAAUCGGAAUUACUGGCGUAAAGCGUGCGCAGGCGGUUCGGAAAACAAAGAUGUGAAAUCCCAGAGCUUAACUUUGGAACUGCAUUUUUAACUACCGAGCUAGAGUGUGUCAGAGUGGCGGAAUUCGCGUGUAGCAGUGAAAUGCGUGAUAUGCGGAGGAACACCGAUGGCGAAGGCAGCCUCCUGGGAUAACACUCGACGCUCAUGCACGAAAGCGUGGGGAGCAAACAGGAUUAGAUAAAUUUGGUAGUCUCACGCCCUAAACGAUGUCAACUAGCUGUUGGGGCCUUCGGGCCUUGUAGCGCAGCUAACGCGUGAAGUUGACCGCCUGGGGAGUACGGUCGCAAGAUUAAAACUCAAAGGAAUUGACGGGGACCCGCACAGCGGUGGAUGAUGUGGAUUACCUGAUGCAACGCGAAAACCUCGCCUACCCUUGACAUGUCUGGAACCCGAAGAGACGGGGAGGCUCGCAAGAGAACUGAACACAGGUGCUGCAUGGCUGUCGUCAGCUCGUGUCGUGAGAUGUUGGGUUAAGUCCCGCAACGAGCGCAACCCUUGUCAUUAGUUGCUACGAAAGGGCACUCUAAUGAGACUGCCGGUGACAAACCGGAGGAAGGUGGGGAUGACGUCAAGUCCUCAUGGCCCUUAUGGGUAGGGCUUCGCACGUCAUACAAUGGUCGGGACAGAGGGUCGCCAACCUGCGAGGGGGAGCGCUAAUCCCAGAAACCCGAUCGUAGUCCGGAUCGCAGUCUGCAACUCGACUGCGUGAAGUCGGAAUCGCCAGUAAUCGCGGAUCAGCAUGUCGCGGUGAAUACGUUCCCGGGUCUUGUACACACCGCCCGUCACACCAUGGGAGUGGGUUUUACCAGAAGUAGUUAGGCCUAACCGUAAGGAGGGCGAUUACCAUUGCAGGAUUCAUGAUUGGGGUAGUCGUAACAAGGUAA